rnacentral:rRNA from 1 species
UAGUCAUAUGCUUGUCUUAAAGACUAAGCCAUGCAUGUCUAAGUAUAAGUAUUAUACAGCGAAACUGCGAAUGGCUCAUUAAAACAGUUAUAGUUUAUUCGAUUAUUUACUCCUACAUGGAUAACCGUAGUAAUUCUAGAGCUAAUACAUGCUGUAAAACCUGACUUUUGUGGAAGGGUUGUAUUUAUUAGAUAUAAAACCAAUACUCGCAAGAGGAUUGUGAUGAUUCAUAAUAACUGAGCGGACCGCGGCCUUGCCGCGGCGAAUCGUUUAAGUUUCUGCCCUAUCAGCUUUCGAUGGUAGUGUAUUGGACUACCAUGGCGAUCACGGGUAACGGGGAAUUAGGGUUCGAUUCCGGAGAGGGAGCCUGAGAAAUGGCUACCACAUCUAAGGAAGGCAGCAGGCGCGUAAAUUACCCAAUCCUAAUUCAGGGAGGUAGUGACAAGAAAUAACAACUCGGGCUUCUUUUGAGGUUACGAGAUUGCAAUGAGAACAAUUUAAACCACUUAUCGAGUAACAAUU